GGAUUGCCCUAGUAACGGCGAGUGAAGCGGCAACAGCUCAAAUUUGAAAUCUGGCCCUUUCAGGGUCCGAGUUGUAAUUUGCAGAGGGUGCUUUGGCGUUGGCUGUGGUCUAAGUUCCUUGGAACAGGACGUCACAGAGGGUGAGAAUCCCGUACGUGGCCGCCAGCCUCCGCCGUGUAAAGCCCCUUCGACGAGUCGAGUUGUUUGGGAAUGCAGCUCUAAAUGGGAGGUAAAUUUCUUCUAAAGCUAAAUACUGGCCAGAGACCGAUAGCGCACAAGUAGAGUGAUCGAAAGAUGAAAAGCACUUUGGAAAGAGAGUCAAAAAGCACGUGAAAUUGUUGAAAGGGAAGCGCUUGCAGCCAGACUUGCCUGUAGUUGCUCAUCCGGACUCUUGUCCGGUGCACUCUUCUGCGGGCAGGCCAGCAUCAGUCCUGGCGGUUGGAUAAAUGCCUGCUAAAUGUACCUCUCUUCGGGGAGGACUUAUAGGGCAGGCGGCAUACAACCAGCUGGGACUGAGGUCCGCGCAUCUGCUAGGAUGCUGGCGUAAUGGCUGUAAGCGGCCCG
rnacentral:rRNA from 2 species